rnacentral:rRNA from 1 species
CCUACGGGUGGCAGCAGUGAGGAAUAUUGGUCAAUGGGCGGAAGCCUGAACCAGCCAAGUCGCGUGAGGGAAUAAGGCCCUACGGGUCGUAAACCUCUUUUGCCGGGGAGCAAGGGCCGGGACGAGUCCCGGUCCUGAGAGUACCCGGAGAAAAAGCAUCGGCUAACUCCGUGCCAGCAGCCGCGGUAAUACGGAGGAUGCGAGCGUUAUCCGGAUUUAUUGGGUUUAAAGGGUGCGUAGGCGGGCUUUUAAGUCAGCGGUCAAAAUUCGGGGCUCAACCCCGUCCGGCCGUUGGAACUGGGGGGCUUGAGUGGGCGAGAAGAAGGCGGAAUGCGUGGUGUCGCGGUGCAAUGCAGCGAUAUCACGCAGGACCCCGAUUGCGAAGGCAGCCUUCCGGCGCCCUACUGGCGCUGAGGCACGAAAGUGCGGGGCUCGAACAAG